UCUUCUCUCCCUCCUGCUCUGCCAGGACGCAAGGCAUCCUAGCCACCCACUCUUGCCACCACAAAGCUGCCUGCCCCAUGCCUUCCCCACCAAGAUGAACUGUAUCCUCCAAUACUCGGGCUCCAGCUGUGGGACAUCCAAGUCGGCUCGUUCUCGAUUUUAUUAGCACUUAGCCUCCCAAAAGGACCAAAGUCAGCGGAAAUUGUUUCACGAAUUACCUCCAGAAGCCCUCGAGUUGCAAGCUGGGGGACGAAAACAGCCACACAAAUCAUUAAUGGGGACAAUUGCCCUCAUAGUGACUCGGAACUGUCCUGUGACGAACCACUUCAAGAUGCAAGCUAUGAAGAGGUGAGCCCUCCAGGAGGACAGUCGACCCUUUCUCCUCCUCUCAGUGCUGGAGAGGGAACUCAGGACCUUGUGCACACAAGGCAAGUGCUCUAUCCCUGAGCCACACCCCAGUGUACCCUUUAACACCAUUACCCAGUGGUCCCUGGGAGAUGCUCCUAAGAGAUACCUGUGCUCUGCAACCACACCGCCAUGUGUCUUUCUCCCUGCGGCAGGCACUGUGUGCAGAUGCUGAGCUACCCUGGAAGGGCCACGACAAAAAGACAAAUCCCUCCAUCCUCACCACGAGGGGUGGGGGGGACUGACCUUCCUUGGAGAAUCACAACAUCCACACUGUGGAAAGGACGGCACCAGGAGGACUUCUAAGGAAAAGUGAGGGUGGGUCUGAGUCAGUGCCCCUGUCUCUACCCCCACCGGUCUGGGAAGACCACCCUCAUGGCCUGAAUCAUCUUCUGCAUCCCUUACCUCCACCCCUGAGUCCUGGGUACAUGCAGGGGAGAACCUGGUGCUUGGACCAAAGGUGUGCUUUUCCUGCGUGACUCCUCCCUGCACUUCCUCUGAUGCACGGCUCCCUACAGGGUAUGCAUGGAUGAAGGCAAGGCCAGCUUCCAAGUCAGAAACAGGAGCUAAAGGGAAGCCACAGAAGAAAUGGCAAAGGAUCAUUCUCAGUACUCAAGCUAUGCAAGGCUCCGAAUAGUGUGCCUGCUGGGCUUAUUGUGGAGGUGUAAUGAGUUGCCUGCCCCCCCCCAUAAUCUUGGUAAUUUGCAUACCUGGUCCCUGGGCUAUAAUACUAUCUGGGAACGGUUAGACAGUAUGGCCUUGUUGGAGGAAGGAUGUCACUGCCAGCAAGUUUUGAGAGUCCGUAGUUACACCUUUUCUAGUUUCUUCUUUCUUUGCUGUGCUUGCAGUUCAAACCAUGGGCCCUCAGCUUCCUGCCCCUGCUGCCUUGGCCUUCCCACCCCUACCGCCAUCGUGGACUCUAACCCGCUAUAAUCAUAAGCCCAAAUAAACUCUUGUCACUUUGUUCAUAGUGUUUUAUCACAGCAACAGAAAAGUAAAUGAUACAUUUAUCAUUGGCUUUUGUCAAUGAUACAUUUAUCAUUGCUGUUUGUAACCAGAGACCAAAUGUACAACCAAAACCAAAGAACCAGCUUCUCCCAAAGAACUGAUAGCCACCAGGUCUGGGCUCACAGUCUGGUACUGUCUUGUAGCAAGUCAGCUAUUAGAACAAGCCACAUCCAAUUUGGUCUGUUUCAGAAUCAAGAAGAAAUCAGAGAUAUCACCUCUGCUAAAGGAACUUGUCCCUGUAUAAGCUGUUUCGACAGAAAUGCGAGCUCCCUCCUAGCUUCUCUGCAAAUACAUAAUGCCAUCCACUGAUUGGAUUCUGAGCAUCAUGUUCCAAGAUUGCCUCUAUGAAGCCACAACUCAAGCUCUCUGGAUCACAGAGCUCUGCGAUUUCCACGUGGGCACGGAGGCAGCAGCUUGCUGCCAUAUGCUGUUUGGUAAAUGUCUGUACAUGACUCCAAACAAAACACCAUGCCAAGCUGGCCGCGUGAGCAGGCACGCAGGCUGCUCAUCUUAACUCAAUGCAUUCCACUUCCCAGAGAGAUACUGAGGGAACAACCAUACCCCACCAGAGAGGUGCUGCAGUGGGCAGCCAUCCCUCGUGACCGUCUGAGGGCCACAGGCCUUUGGAAACAAACAGGAGUGGACUUUAUCAGCCCAAUUUGUAUCUUGCAGCCAAAUGUAAUCCAUGUGCCAGGACAGUGCCCUUGCAUAGAGACAGAUGGCAUUUAUACUAAGAUUGUCACCACUGAGCUGGGAAAUGGGGUCCUAACCAGGUGACAUUUUUUUCCCACCUCAAGAGUAAAAGAAGAUCAGAGCUGACGAUCCCAGAUGUCCUAUAGUGAGUAACCCAGAGGCAGAAGUGUGGGGUGUUCUGCCUAACCACUGGUGGGUUCAGAGGCCAGCCUCCCUCCCACCCCCUCAUAGACAGUAUCAUUGGAAUCUUGUCAGCCACACAAUGCCCUUAUCUUGCUCCUUUUCAAGUCACCUGAUUACCUGGAGAAAAUAGAAACAGAGAGAAAAGAGCAUGUCCUUGCAGAAGCAGGAAUGUCAAGCUUGCUGCCAGACCUCCUUAGCCCUGUUCCUGGAGCCUGGAGGAAAUCUGUUUCACGGAGGAGCCGUGGCCACCUGCCUCAGGGCUCAGAGCUCCCAUGGGGCUGGCCCUACUGCUACUGUGUACAUGUAUGAUUUCUUUGUUCCCUGAGUCCUGUCCCCAGGCCUCACAAAGGUGGCAUGGAAGCAGGUGCACUACCCAUACUGCCCGGUUCACCCUGCUGUAGGCUCUGACCCAGCAGGCAAGCACUAGCACAAAAGCCAUUGGUUCUCCAAAGUCUACAACUGGGCCGCAGCAAGCGCAGCUCAUAAGGCCUCUUCGUGUGGCCUCCCGUCCCUCCCUCACGCCAGCGGCGAGCUGGAGCUGGGGGUGUGUGGGGCUUGAAAGCAAAUCGCUGCUCCGAAUCCUCUGGGCUCAUUAUCCCGGGGAACAGUGGAAACAUAAUGCAUUUUCAUUUACUUAGCCUUAAAUAUAUGUAAAUUAAAGGGUUUUCUUUUAUUAAAAAUAA